UACGUAGGGGGCUAGCGUUGUCCGGAUUUAUUGGCGUAAAGAGCGUGUAGGCGGCCAGGUAGGUCUGCUGUGAAAACUCGAGGCUCAACCUCGAGACCGUCGGCGGAAACCAUUCUGGCUAGAGUCCGGAAGCAGGAGAGUGGAAUUCCGUGGAUGUAGCGGUGAAAUGCGCAGAUAUCAGGAGGAACACCGAUGGCGAAGGCAGGGUCUCUGGGCCAUAACUGACGCUGAGAAGCGAAAGCAUGGGGAGCAAACAG
rnacentral:rRNA from 1 species